UUAUUCUUGAUGUCUAUUUGUGCCUAGAUUUGUCACAACUGAAAGCUAAUUCUGAUGUUAUUGAUGAACAAACACUCUGGAUACAUGCCAGCACUGUUGGUGCCCCGUUUGUAGAGAACAUGACUUGAUAGUGCAACUUUUGUUUUACCGUAGACUGUUAGCAGCCUCCAGUAACUUUACGCACUAAUCAGGCAAGACCAACUACACAAGCAAGAAGGCAUCGACUGCGGCUUCCAAUCCAACAAGCUAUUAAAAAGCUUGAAAACCUGAGAGAUUGAGAUCCCUUUUGGAAUUUUAGGAUUAGGAUCGGACUUGAUCCAAUACUUUUAUUUAUAACCGAGAUGUCCCCGGACCAGUGGGGCAUAAUUCGAAACUCAGUGGAUAAUGGGCCGACUCCUCUGUCCUUCUCCACUUUGCCUUUUAUCUGUGGCAAGGUUUGAACCGGUGACGUGUGCCUAACUCACACAUCAUGCGCUGCACUGUGCUCGUACACUAGACUAAAGCCUGGGGGUGAUCCAAAAUUUUGAUCUAGUUUGAAGUUAACAUAGAUCUAGUUUAGCUUAAGUUAUAUUGAUCUUUGUUUGGAAGAACUUGGAUGCCUAGGACUUACUAACUUGUCUUUAAUUAAGGUGCUUUUUUUGUUUGUUAUAAAGUAAAUAAUUUUAUUGAUGAAGGGAGAAAAAAAACUCCAGUGUACUAGAAAUAUACCAAAAGUAGGGAACCUAAUUUUGAUUCUCUAUGAAAGUCAACUACUCAUCUAUACAAGUAGGAAUGUCGUCGGUGAACCACAUAAUACUAACACCUAUGCCUUUGUGGUGGGUGCACCAUACGAAGCUGAUCCUCAAGUGUACAAUGUCAUUCUCAACCCCUUCGAAUGCUCUCAUAUUCCUCUCUUUCCAAAUCACCAACAUCAGGGCUGGAGGGGCAUCAUCCUAUGCCUCGAGUCUUCUCUUUCUUUUCCCGAAAGCCCAUGGCACAACAUCCCAGUCUGUAAUUAAGGUUUCUUACACUAGAAAUUCUAAACCUUACGAUUAUGUCAUCGUGUUCUGUGCUUUACUAAGUCUGCAUGGAUUGCAGUGCGGGAAGUUAUAUGCCUUCUGAGACAGCUUUUCCUCCAUGUGAUCUUAGGUUUAUUUUGUCCCAUAUUAAUAUCUCCAAUGUAUAAUGGUGUCAGUGCUAUGAGCUUGUGCAUUUGGAUGUCUAUGUAAUAUAUGACUAAAUCAUCUCAGGCGAUCUUAUCUCAUUCCUCCGCAUGUUUCUACUUACAUUCUGUCAGAUGUGAUCAUUUCUAGUGUUGUCUAAUCUUGAAAGAUUGCACAUAUAUCUUAGUGCGUUCACAUUACUAUAACAUUUAUCCUAUGGGUAUGGUUUGUGAUUUAGUGGCCAAUAGUCACGCCUAUUUACAUUGCUGGUCUUACGUUACUAGGACUUGCUCUACACUAGGUAUUCUACUAUCACAUAAUGCUCCCUUAGCACCCUUCAUUUCAAACAUCUUAAAUAAUUGUAUGCAUUACAUCAGUUAUCAUGAUAUCAUUCCAAAAGAUUGUGUCUAAAUAUCUCAAUUGUUUACAUUUUAGGCACUACAACGGUACAACCUUGUCUAUUCUCACUUCAACCUCAUUUUUGUUAUAUUGGCUAAACUUGAAUGCUUAUAUUGUCUUACUUCUACCGUGUUGAGUUAUAUAAUUGUCUUUAUAUGAACUGUGCCUCCCAAAGGGGUUUAUGAAGUUGGAUGUUCAAUUUCUCUUACUUGAUGCGCAUAAUCACACUCUCAUAAGUUUGCAUUAAAGUCUAUUUAGGAAUCUCAAAUUGGACUGGAUACUUGUGUACGAGCUUGUUAAGUUACUCAUAAAUUUUGUAAGGACUUCUAAAGCGACUUGUAAAGGUCUUGACCUACUCUAAUCAUUGCCUAAAGUUUUGGUUAUGAUUCCGUCACAUGCUUAUCCUAAAGUGCUUUAUAUAGUUCAAGCUUGGUUGACUCCCUAGUUAAUUUCAUCAAUCAUGAUAUGUUCGCAAAUAACAUACCUUUGAACUAAGGUAUACAAGUACUUGCUGAAGAUAGAUCCCUAGGCUUUAAACCUGGAGGCCACAAAAUAUAUUAUUUCAUUUUCAUUACAUAACCAAGGAGAGCAGGUUGUUUUAUUAGACUUUGGAGAUAGUUAGAAGUAUGAAAUUUCAUUCUUCUUUCUGUUCUGUAUUGCUGGACAUUGUAAUCUGUUUGCAUUGACAAGUUAAGGUGGUCUGUUGAAGCAUUUAAAUAAAAGAAAGGAGAUAAGGUUGGUCAGAACUUGUGAAGCUGUUAGUACUGUUGGUGUGUUAAUACCUGUACAUUCUAUAGGUUACAACAUAUUAUGCUUGCUGGCAUCUUAUUUUAGUGCAAAAUGUGCUAUGUCUAUUUUUAAAGAUUUGAAUGUAAUUAGAAAAUGUAGAGAAGUUUUUUAGCAUUUGGGAACCCAAACUGUUGAUUAUUGGAAUGAAAUGGGUCAAAAA